rnacentral:lncRNA from 1 species
CUUUUCUUCAGUUUAUCAAUUUCCAUUUCGUAACGCUCCUUCUCCUUCCGUCACCACUACCUUUUCCUCUACCAGCAGAAGCAGUCCAUGGCAGUUUAAAAAGAUUCUUCUGAACUCCGUCAAAAAAAAAUCCAAAUAAGCAAUACAACAGUUACCACAGUCCUUAAUUAUUAUUAUUAUUUUGUAAUAUUGAUCUCUAAUUCUUCACAUGUCGAGUCCGUCGGAUAGCUUAGGGAGGCCUUGUAAGUUCUCUCGUUCUUUAAUUAUUGAAUUUGAUUUUUGUCAUAAAUUCUGUACCAAUUUUUUUUUUAAUUUUCUUUGGCGGAACAAUCUUUGUUUAGAAAUCACAGUUUACUAGAUUAUCAAAAUUGUGAAAAUUAAGCAAUUUUGGAAAGAAAAUAGUGGUUUAAAUUGUAAUGACUUGUUCUAAAACCAUGGAAUUAAAUUUUUUAAUAACCUUUUUUUUUAAUUAUUUGAUGCUUUUAGGUCUUGAGGGGUUCUCUAGUAAUGAAGAGAAAAGAGAGAGGAAAUCGGAUUUUGAGAACUCAGAGGAAGAAAGGAAGACUAGAAUUGGGAGUUUGAAAAGGAAAGCAAUGAAGGCGUCUAGUAAACUCAGGCGUUCUCUCACGAAAAGCAAGAAAAAAGGUACUGGUGGCUGCGGUGGUGGCGAAGGGGUUUCUGCUGCAAUUGAGGAUGUUCGAGAUGUUGAGGAGCUUCGGGUUGUAGAUUCAUUUAAACAGUUACUUAUGGCGGACGAUUUGCUUCCUGCUAGACAUGAUGAUUAUCAUAUGUUAUUGAGGUUCCUUUUCUUCUUUGCUUGCUUGUAGUGCUGAUUACGGUCUUGAUAAAAUAUUUUCUUUGCUUUCGUCAUUUUUAUUUUAAUUCAUCAAAUGUUCUCUUAUUGAUUGCUUGUUAGCCCGUGUCCUUUGUUUUAUUGAUUAUUUAAAUAAUCGUUUGCUUCAGUAAAUUCGGAAUGGGUUUUGUCAGGUUUUUAGGUGUUACAUCCUCUUUCAAAUAUUAUUCAGAGGCUGAUUAUGUAAUUUGCCAAUUGCUUUGUCAAUAAAUAAAUCAAGAUUGGCCUGUAAAAAACUGGGAAAAUGAUUGGCUGCUUGAAGUCUUCAAUGCUAUGAUGCAAGACGAAUGGGAAAAUGAUUGACUAUGUGGUGUUCCUGAUUUCUUUUUGAAGCUCCCCUUUGACUUCACCUGGUUAGAUUGUCAUCCAAUUAUUUAGCUCCUUUUUUGUUUGUCCUUUUAUGAAUUUCAAUUUCAAUUGCAGAAGUGAUGAGAGGGUCGCCAAUUAACAGUGAUAGCUGCAUUGUUCAUUUUGGUUUUCAAAUCAAUCAAAUAUAGGCUGUGGUAUGAGCAUUUACAGUGGUUGUUUCAUGUUCAGAUUUCGUCUUUCUAAGUAAACUUUUAUGAGGUUCAAUGAUCGUGUACACAUUGGAAGUGAGAGCUGUUAUUAAUGUUUCUAUUUUCACAUAUUUCUUGAUGCUCAAAAUGAGGAAUAGUUGGUUCAGCUUAGCAGAACUUUUGUGCAGCGUCAAUACUAAAGAAUCUCGUUUUUGCAGGUUCUUAAAAGCAAGGAAGUUUGAUGUUGAGAAAGCCAAACAGAUGUGGGCCAACAUGCUACAGUGGAGGAAAGACUUCGGUACUGACACAAUUUUGGAGGUAACGCUAACACAAUCCUUCUCCAUUUCUGUAUCCUUACAUCUUCAUUUUAUGGUGGCUAUUCUUAGAGAAAUUUUUAGGUAGACUAAGUCUACCACCUCACUCAUAGACUGAUCCGAUAAACACAAGACACUAGGAUAAAAUACAGCGGUCUCCGCUUGUUGAUGUAUGCAUUCCACAUGAUUUUGUCUAUCUAUCUUCGCCUAGUCUAUGAGUGAUGCGGUAGACUUAGUCUAUGAAGUAAAUAAUUUCUCCUAUUCUUAAGUUUAGUGGCAUUGUUCAGGAUUUCGAGUUCAGUGAGUUGAAAGAAGUUCUAAAGUACUACCCUCAGGGUUAUCAUGGUGUAGAUAAGGAUGGGAGACCCGUUUACAUCGAAAGACUUGGAAAAGUUGAUUCCAGCAAACUUAUGGAAGUGACCACUUUAGAAAGAUAUUUGAGAUAUCACGUGCAGGAGUUUGAAAAGACAUUCACGAUUAAGUUUCCAGCUUGCUCCAUUGCCGCAAAGAGACACAUAGAUUCAAGUACAACUAUUUUGGAUGUGCAAGGACUUGUAUGUUUUAUUUAUUAAUAUCGGGUUUUUUUUAUACCUCUUCGAGGUUGUUACAUUCUGCUUUCUUUUUUAACAAAUUUUUCUCCAGGGUUUAAAAAACUUCAACAAGUCCGCACGAGAACUCAUCAUUCAGCUCCAGAAGAUUGAUGGUGACAACUAUCCUGAGGUAUGUGAUUUUGCUCUCAAUUUUCAUAGAAGUUUUUCUUUAACACUGAUUCUUAUGCCUAAAAAUCAAGUUGGGAAGCUAUUUUGUUACAAGAGCUAAAACAGAAAAUUGCACAGACACUUUGCAGAAUGUUUGUCAUUAAUGCUGGUCCUGGUUUUAAGCUGCUCUGGAAAACAGUGAAAUCUUUUCUCGAUCCCAACACAGCUUCCAAGAUUUAUGUGAGUAGUGCUUUCCUUAGUUUUGUUGAAUUGCCUAACAUUUACAGUUGACAGAUGUAUACUAGCUGAUUUUGGAAUUUUAACUCAGGUUCUUGGUAACAAGUACCAGAGCAAGUUGCUUGAAAUAAUAGGCUCUAGGUAACAAAAUUCUACGAUUAUUUCCUUGCUAGUUAUCUUCCCUUUCAAUUAUACAAACUGUCUAAAACUUUUAAAAAUAACUUGGAAUUUGUUCAGUGAGUUGCCCGAGUUUUUAGGUGGUAGCUGUACUUGUACUGAUCAGGGAGGCUGUAUGAGAUCUGACAAGGGGCCGUGGAAAGAUCCGAACAUUUUAAAGGUGUGGUGAUUACUUUAAAUUCUAUGUGGUGCCUUUGUAUGUUGAAACACCAUUAUUCAGACUUCUGUUUUUGGUAAAGCGCUUUUCUAAUAUGUUCAUGUUAUAUGAUUAAUUGUCCGUCCAGAUGGUUCUCACUGGUGAAGCACAAUAUUCCAGACAAAUAGUAACUAUUUCAAAUAGUGAGGGCAGGGUAAUUGCUUAUGACAAGCCAUUCAAUCCAAUGGUAAACUCUCUCGGGAAAGCUUUUGUCUUGUACGAUACUCAACUGCAUGUUCUCUAACUUGGUUUUUUUUUUUUGGCUGAGCCAGAUAAAAACAAGUGAUACUUCCACUGCAGAGUCAGGAUCUGAAGUGGAAGAUGUUGGCUCUCCGAAGCCAACUGGGAGCUAUUUACUGCCAAGCCUGGUUCCUGUCUCUGAAGAAGUAAGUUUUUCUGAAAGUUUAGAUGUACGAGUCUAUGUGAAGUUUAGUUGAAGUUGUUUUACUUUAGAAGAUUGAUACAUUAAAAGUAUCCUCCAACAGAAUGCAUUCCUUGAAUGAAAUGCAAGUGUGUCUGUGGGUUUUGAGUGUAUAUAUAAUGCUAAUAUUUUAAAUUAUACAGGCUAGGGUGGCUGGUAAGACGAGUGCUGCCAUUUUCCCUGAUAACAAUGGAAAUAUACCUAUAAUUGACAAGACAGUGGAUGCUGAAUUUCAAGAUUCAUCUACUUCCACAGGUUAGCAAGAUUCAACGCUAUCAUAUGGAUAAAUUCUGACUGGUAACUGUUAGUGACUAGGGUCGAUGUAUGCAGAACUUGUGUAGAUGGAUUUUGUUGUAAUAGAUAGAGAUAGGGUAUCCUAGGAUUGUGGCUGCCUUCUGGUUCUGCUGCCUCCUUGGUGUGGCAGCCCUGAGAAGGGAACUUUGAAAUGAAGUUAAAUGUAAUAUUCCUUUUAUUGUAGUUUCACCCUUAGAGUUCCAUUUUCCUUGUUUUUCCUUUGGGGAAAUUAAAAAAACACCAAUCAUAGUAGGUGGGAUGUUAUGAUACUUGGAUAUAAAAACAUUACACUUUCAGGGCCUUUAUAUGGAGAUCCAGACGUCUCCCUAUUGUUUUGGGAGAACAUUAAUUAAGAGACAAGUCAUGGAUCUUUUUCGCCUGGCUCAUGCUCUAAUUAUCUUUUCUGAUAAGGGGUAUCACCAUGACUAGUUGGAUUUCACGAGGACUUCACUGGUUUAGGUUGGAGUAAAUGUUAUUUGAUAUGAUAUUAUAUCAGAUGCUGAACAAAAUUAAUGAAAUUGGUUGCAGGCACACCUUCUCUGUUAAGUGUAGAGAAGAUUUCAGAAGGAAUCUCUGCUCGUACCUGGGCUGUGCUUGUGGCCGUCUUCAUAACCCUUCUUGCUUUCUUCCGUUCAAUGGCAUUUUGGAAGGCCAAGAAACACUCUGCAUCUGAUUCUGCC